rnacentral:rRNA from 1 species
CCUACGGGUGGCAGCAGUGAGGAAUAUUGGUCAAUGGGCGCGAGCCUGACCCAGCCAAGUAGCGUGAAGGAUGACUGCCCUACGGGUUGUAAACUUCUUUUAUAAAUGAAUCCAGUGAGGCACGUGUGCCUUUUUGUAUGUACUUUAUGAAUAAGGAUCGGCUAACUCCGUGCCAGCAGCCGCGGUAAUACGGAGGAUCCGAGCGUUCUCCGGAUUUAUUGGUGUUAAAGGGAGCGUAGAUGGGUUGUUAAGUCAGUUGUGAACGUUUGCGGCUCAACCGUAAAAUUGCAAUUGAUACUGGCAGUCUUGAGUACAGUUGAGGUAGGCGGAAUUCGUGGUGUAGCGGUGAAAUGCUUAGAUAUCACGAAGAACCCCGAUUGCGAAGGCAGCUUACUAAACUGUGACUGACAUUGAUGCUCGAAAGUGUGGGUAUCAAACAGGAUUAGAUACCCGGGUAGUC